CGCGAAAGUUGGCAAUGCCUCC
rnacentral:miRNA from 1 species